GAAGGGCUUUUUCUUUAUAUAUGAUGAUAAACCAUUUUAGAUGUCUCGAAGAAUUUAUUUCAAUGUGAGCACACGAUUUCUCAAUAGACUACAACGGUAUCUGAUUUGUCCUUU